UACGAAGGGGGCUAGCGUUGCUCGGAAUCACUGGGCGUAAAGGGCGCGUAGGCGGCCGAUUAAGUCGGGGGUGAAAGCCUGUGGCUCAACCACAGAAUUGCCUUCGAUACUGGUUGGCUUGAGACCGGAAGAGGACAGCGGAACUGCGAGUGUAGAGGUGAAAUUCGUAGAUAUUCGCAAGAACACCAGUGGCGAAGGCGGCUGUCUGGUCCGGUCCUGACGCUGAGGCGCGAAAGCGUGGGGAGCAAACAGG
rnacentral:rRNA from 1 species